rnacentral:rRNA from 1 species
UACCCGCGGCCCGAGUGGUGCUCAUUAUUAUUGAGCCUAAAGCGUCCGUAGCUGGCCGGGCAAAUCUCCGGGUAAAUCGGGCCGCUCAACGGUCCGAAUUCCGGAGACACUGCUCGGCUUGGGAUCGGGAGAGGGUGAAGGUACUCCCGGGGUAGGGGUAAAAUCCUGUAAUCCUGGGGGGACCACCAGUGGCGAAGGCGUUCACCUAGAACGAAUCCGACAGUGAGGGACGAAGCCCUAGGGCGCAAACGGGAUUAGAUACCCCGGUAGUCUAGGGUGUAAACGCUGCAGACUUGGUGUUGGGGGUCCUGCGUGGGCUCCCAGUGCCGGAGCGAAGGUGUUGAGUCUGCCGCUUGGGGAGUACGGUCGCAAGACUGAAACUUAAAGGAAUUGGCGGGAGAGCACCGCAACGGGAGGAGCGUGCGGUUCAAUUGGAUUCAACGCCGGAAAACUCACCGGAGGCGACGGAGGGAUGAAAGCCAGGCUGAAGACCUUGCCCGAUUCUCCGAGAGGUGGUGCAUGGCCGUCGUCAGUUCGUACCGUAAGGCGUUCUGUUAAGUCAGAUAACGAACGAGACCCUCGCCGUUAGUCGCGAUCUUACAAGCGAUUGUAGGAGCACACUAGCGGGAUCGCUGCCGUUAAGGCAGAGGAAGGAGAGGUCUACGGUAGGUCCGUAUGCCCCGAAUCUUCCGGGCAACACGCGCGCUACAAAGGUGGGGACAAUGGGACCCGACCUCGAAAGGGGGAGGCAAUCCUGAAACCCCAUCGUAGUCUGGAUCGAGGGCUGUAACUCGCCCUCGUGAAAAUGGAUUCCGUAGUAAUCGCGGGUCAACAUCCCGCGGUGAAUGUGCCCCUGCUCUU